rnacentral:lncRNA from 1 species
CGUCUCUGCAUCACCAACGUCUCGGGGUCUUUAAUGAAGUCAGGCUUCCUUCACAGUCACAGGUUCACACAGUAGCCUCUGGGCCGCCGGCGUACAGGAUCGCCCCUUAUAUAUACGUGCUUCUUGUAUCUGUGGGUUUGUACUGGUUUCAGACAACUGGGUUUGUCCUGUUUCCCUCCCUAGUUCCUAGGCUUGGGAUUCCUGUUGUGGAUAUUAGCCUUAGAUCUGCCCCGAAGCAGCUCGCUCACCCACCCACUCCAUGCUGUUUCCUCAGACUCUCUUCAGGGCUUCAUUUGGGGUGGUGACCGUAGCUCAGGCUUCAUGGCCACUCCUCCCCCCUUC